AAGAAAAAUGGAAAAAAGGUUAUGUGAAUUGAUAAAUGGAUAAUGUGGAAAGCCUGACUAGAUAUCCUAGGAGAUAGUGGACGGACCGGGUCCGUAGGGAUCCCUACCGGGAAUGUGGUCUCUCAUAUCGGAUGGGGUAUGGAGACCUUAUGUGUUCUGGCGCCCAUACCGGACAUGGUAUGGGGACGGCCCGUUUCACCCUCAUACCGGAUGGGGUAUUGAGGUUUAUGGUUUUGGCGCCCAUACCGGAAGGGGUAUGGGGAUG
rnacentral:lncRNA from 1 species